rnacentral:rRNA from 1 species
UACGAGGGGGGCGAGCGUUGUUCGGAAUUAUUGGGCGUAAAGGGUGCGUAGGCGGUUUGGUAAGUCUUGUGUGAAGUCUCCAGGCUCAACUUGGAGUCUGCACGAGAAACUGCCGGGCUUGAGUGUGGGAGAGGUGAGUGGAAUUCCUGGUGUAGCGGUGAAAUGCGUAGAUAUCAGGAGGAACACCUGUGGCGAAAGCGGCUCACUGGACCACAACUGACGCUGAUGCACGAAAGCUAGGGGAGCAAACAGG